rnacentral:rRNA from 1 species
GACGAACGCUGGCGGCGUGCCUAAUACAUGCAAGUCGAGCGGAAUGAUGAAGAAGCUUGCUUCUUCUGAUUUUAGCGGCGGACGGGUGAGUAACACGUGGGCAACCUACCUUGUAGAUUGGGAUAACUCCGGGAAACCGGGGCUAAUACCGGAUAAUCCAUUUUGCUUCAUGGCGAGAUGUUGAAAGACGGUUUCGGCUGUCACUACAAGAUGGGCCCGCGGCGCAUUAGCUAGUUGGUAGGGUAAUGGCCUACCAAGGCGACGAUGCGUAGCCGACCUGAGAGGGUGAUCGGCCACACUGGGACUGAGACACGGCCCAGACUCCUACGGGAGGCAGCAGUAGGGAAUCUUCCACAAUGGACGAAAGUCUGAUGGAGCAACGCCGCGUGAGUGAAGAAGGUUUUCGGAUCGUAAAACUCUGUUGUAAGGGAAGAACACGUACGAGAGUAACUGCUCGUACCUUGACGGUACCUUAUUAGAAAGCCACGGCUAACUACGUG